UAAUAAAACCGAGAAUGGCAUACCGUCGUAUGAGAGACAGCCUGGCGACCAUGGAUGUAUUUUUACAAAAAAAAAUACGAAUAACGAUCCAACGUCGUAACAACGGCUUUGACAGCCCACACCUUCAGAGACCCGGCGUUAGACAGCACAUCACCGGAAGAACAGACUUCUGAAUAGGCUAAUAAUACUGUAGUACAGGCAAUUCACUCUAGGGGAAAAUACAGAUUAUGAUGCUCCGUUAUCCGAGGCUGGAGAUUACACCACCAAGUAUCAGCUCUUGAGGAAUUUAUUCAGCCAGUUUCACAAUGAGAAGCUUCCUGAGGCUCCCUCUCUCCAGGCCAGGAGAGUGUAUGAGCCUGUCAUCAUUCAGAAGCAUCUGUCACUGUGGGAGAGCCUGCAUUUUACUGACAAGAUUGAGUGCAACAAGCCAGUGGAACUCUGUCCCCCAGAAGCCGUCCUUCCCAGGGUUCUUCCAGGGCAUGCUGUAUGUGGAAGGCCAUCCCAGAGACACCUUCAUCCCAGAAACACAAGCAUUUUUCUACACUCGCAUUAACAUCUGCUAACCAUGUGUAUGUGACCAAUAAAAUUUGAUUUAAUUUGA